rnacentral:rRNA from 1 species
GWGUCUUAGACAASGCUUUGCUCAKACWAUUAGGUCCUAGAWAGCAACGAACGWCGACCGCAACCUCUUGUUGCCUUUAUACCAAACAUGUUUAUUCAUUUUUUAAUGUUCAUUCAUGAAAAAAGGCUUUUUAAACUAGAGGGACCGCUUGUUACUUUCUUAAACCAGAGGAAGGUUGCGGCAAUAACAGGUCUGUGAUGCCCUUAGAUGUUCCGGGCUGCACACGUGCUACAAUGAUUAUUGCAGUGAGCAUYUCAUUUUUACACACCGCAUGCGCGAGUCCAUUUAUUCACCUUCGGGUGUUUUAAAUGUGUACCUCUGCGCGCGGUAAAGCCUGCUUCGAAAGUAAGUGGGUAAUCAAUUAGAAGUAAUGAUUUCCUUUUUUAGCACACAUAUAUACGGCGUCUAUGCCCGGGUUACCUUGUUGUAGCUUUUGUGUGUAUAGAUGUUUUUUCCGUAUGUGCGAUUGUCAAUUCAUAGGUGGGGACAGACCAUUGUUAAUUGUUGGUCUCGGUCUUAACUAGGAAUGCCUUGUACGGGUCUUUGGUUCAACAAACCACCCGGAAUACGUCCCUGCCCUUUGUACACACCCGCCCGUCGCUCUUACCGAUGGACUUCUCUGUGAGUUUGAGGGACUGGGAACGCAGGAAUUUAUUUCUGCACACCUAUGGAAACUUAAACGAACAGUGUGGUCUAAAGGAAAGAGAAGUCGUAAC